rnacentral:rRNA from 1 species
AGAUUGAACGCUGGCGGCAUGCCUAACACAUGCAAGUCGAACGGCAGCGCGGGGGCAACCCUGGCGGCGAGUGGCGGACGGGUGAGGAAUACAUGGGAAUCUACCCUGUCGUGGGGGAUAACGUAGGGAAACUUACGCUAAUACCGCAUACGACCGAGAGGUGAAAGCGGCGGACCGCAAGGCGUCGCGCGACUGGAUGAGCCCAUGUCCGAUUAGCUAGUUGGCGGGGUAAGAGCCCACCAAGGCGACGAUCGGUAGCUGGUCUGAGAGGAUGAUCAGCCACACUGGAACUGAGACACGGUCCAGACUCCUACGGGAGGCAGCAGUGGGGAAUAUUGGACAAUGGGCGCAAGCCUGAUCCAGCAAUGCCGCGUGGGUGAAGAAGGCCUUCGGUUGUAAAGCCCUUUUGUACGGAAGAAAAGCGGUUGGUUAAUACCUGAUCGUCAUGACGGUACCGUAAGAAUAAGCACCGGCUAACUUCGCGCCAGCAGCCGCGGUAAU